rnacentral:rRNA from 1 species
AGAGUUUGAUCCUGGCUCAGGACGAACGCUGGCGGUGUGCUUCACACAUGCAAGUCGAACGAGGUAGCAAUACCUAGUGGCGGACGGGUGAGUAACGCGUGGGAAUCUGCCUUUAGAUGGGGGAUAACGAGCCGAAAGGUUCGCUAAUACCGCAUAUGCCGUAAGGUGAAAGGAGUAAUCCGUCUAGAGAUGAGCCCGCGUCCGAUUAGCUAGCUGGUAGGGUAAAGGCCUACCAAGGCGACGAUCGGUAGCUGGUCUGAGAGGAUGAUCAGCCACAAUGGGACUGAGACACGGCCCAUACUCCUACGGGAGGCAGCAGUGGGGAAUUUUACGCAAUGGGGGAAACCCUGACGUAGCGACACCGCGUGAGCGAAGAAGCCCCUUGGGGUGUAAAGCUCUGUCGGCUGGAACGAAAAAAAUGACGGUACCAGCAAAGGAAGCAUCGGCUAACUACGUGCCAGCAGCCGCGGUAAGACGUAGGAUGCAAGCGUUGUCCGGAUUUAUUGGGCGUAAAGAGUUCGUAGGUGGUUUGUCAAGUCUGAUGUUAAAGAUCGGGGCUCAACCCUGGGACUGCAUUGGAUACUGGCAGACUUGAGUAUGGUAGAGGCUAGUGGAAUUCCCAGUGUAGCGGUGAAAUGCGUAGAUAUUGGGAAGAACACCGGUGGCGUAGGCGACUAGCUGGGCCAUAACUGACGCUGAGGAACGAAAGCCAGGGGAGCGAAUGGGAUUAGAUACCCCGGUAGUCCAA